rnacentral:lncRNA from 1 species
GCAUUAAAUGCAUAUUGAAAAGUGGUUGGACAAAAUUGCGCCUCUCAUAUUAUGAUAUCUCAGGCCAUAUUAUGACAUUCUGGACUAUAUUACGUAUAGGAUGUCAUAAUUUUUUCCAAAAGACAGGAGUAUCUUCGUCAUACAAAUUUUUAAACAAAAAAACCGACCUGCAGGCAUAAAAUGUAUGUUGGAAAGUGGUGACUACGUAGAUCAAUCGGACGAGGUGAUGCACUCCACGUCGGAUUUUUUACACUGCCCGUGGUGCACAAAAAAUUUCUCUAACAAAAAGCAUUGCCCUACAUUUACUAUAUUGGCCCAACA